rnacentral:rRNA from 1 species
CACGUAGGCGGACUCUUAAGUCGGGGUGAAAGCCCAGGGCUCAACCCUGGAACUGCCUUUGAUACUGGGAGUCUUGAGUAUGGUAGAGGUUGGUGGAACUGCGAGCGUAGAGGUGAAAUUCGUAGAUAUUCGCAAGAACACCAGUGGCGAAGGCGGCCAACUGGACCAUUACUGACGCUGAGGUGCGAAAGCGUGGGGAGCAAACA